rnacentral:rRNA from 1 species
AUUGAACGCUGGCGGCAUGCCUUACACAUGCAAGUCGAACGGCAGCGGGGGAGAAGCUUGCUUUUCCUGCCGGCGAGUGGCGAACGGGUGAGUAAUACAUCGGAACGUGCCCUGUAGUGGGGGAUAACUAGUCGAAAGAUUAGCUAAUACCGCAUACGACCUGAGGGUGAAAGUGGGGGACCGCAAGGCCUCAUGCUAUAGGAGCGGCCGAUGUCUGAUUAGCUAGUUGGUGGGGUAAAGGCCUACCAAGGCGACGAUCAGUAGCUGGUCUGAGAGGACGAUCAGCCACGCUGGGACUGAGACACGGCCCAGACUCCUACGGGAGGCAGCAUUGGGGAAUUUUGGACAAUGGGCGAAAGCCUGAUCCAGCAAUGCCGCGUGUGUGAAGAAGGCCUUCGGGUUGUAAAGCACUUUUGUCCGGAAAGAAAUGGCUCUGGUUAAUACCUGGGGUCGAUGACGGUACCGGAAGAAUAAGGACCGGCUAACUACGUGCCAGCCGCCGACGUAA